CCAAACUUGGUCAUUUAGAGGAAGUAAAAGUCGUAACAAGGUUUCCGUAGGUGAACCUGCGGAAGGAUCAUUACAGAAUUCAAACACGUCUAGGCUGUUGCUGACUUCGUGCACGCCUGACAUUGUUAUUCUUUUGACCACCUGUGCACCUUUUGUAGACUUGAAAGAACUAUAUUUAUCGAGGUAAAAACUCGGUCUAGAGGACUGCAGUGUUUUACAAGCCUGCUAUCCUUGAUGUUCUUUCAGUCUAUGUAUUUUAUCAUACUCUUAACCAGUAACAUGAAUGAAUUUAUUGGCUCUUUUGUGCCUUUAAUUUGAAAUACAACUUUCAACAACGGAUCUCUUGGCUCUCGCAUCGAUGAAGAACGCAGC
rnacentral:misc_RNA from 1 species